CCCGGACGGGGUGGCGGGGACCAACUUCGCGCUGUGGGCGGGCGGCGCGGAGGGGGUCGAGCUGUGCCUGUUCGACGAGGGCGGCCGGGA
rnacentral:tRNA from 1 species